CGGUUGGGAUCUUUGCCAUUUCACAAAGUUGCAGUGGGGUGGCAGCUCGAGCUUGCGGUCUUGUAAGCUUAGAACCUACGAAGAUUGCGGAGAUCCUUAAAGAUCGUCCAUCUUGGUUCCGGGAUUGUCGGAGCCUUGAAGUUUUCACCAUGUUUCCUGCAGGAAAUGGUGGAACAAUUGAACUAGUAUACAGUCAGGUAUAUGCUCCAACAACUCUGGCUCCUGCACGGGAUUUCUGGACUUUGAGAUACGC
rnacentral:misc_RNA from 1 species